CUUUUUUUUUGUGGUUCUUUGUCUUAUAUAAUGGGGAUUUCUGGGUGUUGUGGUGUUCUGCCAGGAGGUGGCGUACAAGAUCUAGACAUGUUCUCUGUCCAGGAACUGAGGCUGUUUUUCACAGACAAAGAAACUGAGUACUUGCCACUGUAUGGUGUAACAAUUGAGGGGAUCAAACCUGACCCUUAAUACUUUGUGUACUGAUUCAAGACUUGUGACCUAAUUUAUUGAUUGUAUGAAAUUAUAAUCCUGUUUUAUAUGGCAAAAAUAGGAUUAGUUACACAAGUCCCUAACAGAGCUGGUCAGAUUUGUCUUUGAAGUCUUAGCAAGUACCGAUGAUCUGAUUCCUCUUUCAAGGGCAAAAUGUAUGUAACACAAUGUUUUAUAUUUUUUGUAAAAAUUAUCUCCCUUCUGUUUACAAAGGCUUUGUUUUCACCCUCACAAUAGAGUUCAUCUUGUGUGUUUUGAAGUUGACAGCUAAAGAGAAGACACAUUUUGAGGAGAAAUGAUGUCAUCUUCCUUCUGCGGCCAGAGAGGAAAUGGAUGGUGAAGGUCUGUGUCUGGCCAAGAAAACAAGAAUACCAUCUUUGGGCCUGUGUCCCAAAUGAUACCCUAUCCUAUCCCGUAUAACAAGGGUAGUAGGCAACCCUUGUCCUGGAGUGCCGCAGGCAGUGUUGAAUUUGUCUGUGUUGAAUUUAGGCAUUCACUGAACUGAUCAAUUACCACACCUGACCAAGUGAGCUGCCUAGUUGGUGCCUACCCCUGCCCUAUAUAAUGCACUACUCCCGGUCAAAUGUAGUGCCCUAUAAAGGGAAUGGGGUGCCAUUUGGAAUGAAGUCCUUGUCUCUUGCCUAGAUAUGCAAAUGUCUUUCUUUUGUGAGUGUGUUUGUAUGCACACAUCAACACUGAUUUCAAAUUCUAUGCUUGGAUCCAACUGUUACAUGUUUAUAUUCUUGGUAGGGGAUUAGUUAAAUUCGUAAGAACUAUUGUGCAUCUGUCGUAGGAAGAUAUGACAUACUGCAUUAUAUGAUUACAGCCCAAAAUACCUGUUUUGUUGUCAGUCAUCAUGCUUUUGCACACUCUUUCCUCUUGACUUUGCCUAACAAUGAUGUAAGUGGUUGGCAAUAUGAAUGCCUAUAGUACAAGCAUUUCACUACACCCACAAUAAGAUACGCUAAAUAUGUGUGUGACCAAUACAAUUUUAUCUGAGAUAUUGCACAAUGAUAUUGUUCAUUACUACUAUUUGUAGACCCGGCUGUUGAGGAGGAAUUACAGCUUGUGUUGAAGUCUAACAAUGUGUGGAGCUAGAAUGAUCAUUCAUCUUCUCUCUGAAAAGGAAAGUUGAAGUUGCACUUAAUGUGCACUAGAAUUUCUCUAUCUCACGGUAGCCAUGGAAACUGUGUGACAUAAAUAGGCUAGAAACGGUCAGAGAGAUGUUGCAGUUUUUAAUAAUGGACAGAAUUUGGGUCAUAAUAUCGUGUAUGUUGGUCUAUAAAUUGCACUGUGUGCCAGAUACGUAUUCCAUUAAUCUGUAGAAUCCCUAGUUGGUCUUCAAAGAGGCUGUGGGUGAUUAUUUAAGUUCUCGUCUGCAGAGUCAAAGACGUCACGCAGAAAAUGACUGCUGUUUCAGCUCUGUGUUGUCAGUUGACUUUCUGUAGGCUACAUCUUACCAGGUGUAGUAUUUCAUGUGCAUUUCAUAUAUUUGGAUGGU
rnacentral:lncRNA from 1 species